GGGUUUGUAGCUCAGUUGGUUAGAGCGCACGCCUGAUAAGCGUGAGGUCGGUGGUUCAAAUCCACCCAGACCCACCA
rnacentral:tRNA from 1 species